rnacentral:misc_RNA from 1 species
CUCUCAGAGCCAAUGUAGUCGGGCUCAGAGGACCACCCAAAGAGCGGGCUCCACCAGUUGGCCGAUGGCGAGGAAAAGCUUUUCCGACGGUUCGGGUCGGAUCUAUGGGGAACCGGUGCAGCAGAGGCUCUGAUGGCGACGGAACCCAAGGGGACGAGAUUAGUAGCCAUUUCUAAGACUUUAGAGAGCAAGCUGUUUCAAAGACCAUAGAGUUGCAGGAGGAAAUGAAUAGUAAAGACGAGAGCUGAGAUGGUUAGGGUAUGUGUUUUGGGGGAGUAUUUGUAAGGAGAGCGAUUUGUCUGGUUAAUUCCGUUAA